rnacentral:rRNA from 1 species
AGAUACCCUAUUAUUUUUAUUGUAAAAUUUUAAGUCUGAGUAUUAGUAGAUAUAAUCUUUAAACUUAAAGAAUUUGGCGGUAUUAUAGUCUACUUAGAGGAAUCUGUUAUAUAAUCGAUAAUCCACGUACAACCUUACUUAUAUGAAUUCUUGUAUAUCGCUGUUUGUGAAUAUAUUUUUAGAUGAAAUUUUCAGGAUAUAAUAAUAAUUAAAAUUUCAAGUCAAGGUGCAGUUAGUAUAUAAGUUAAAUAAUGGAUUACAAUAAAUUUUAUUUAUAUGAAUUUUUAUUGGAAUAAUAAUUUGAAGGUGGAUUUAAAUGUAAUUUUAUAAAGAUUGUUAAAAUGAUUUAAGCUCUAUAAUAUGUACACAUCGCCCG